AUGUUAGUUUUAGGAGUUUUGAUCUGUGUAUUUUCUCCAUCUCUUUUGCUUUCCCCAGUUGUCAAUAUUAUGCAUGGGGAGACAGCUUGCAUUUGUAAAUUCAUCAUUAGAUUUAGAAGGGCUUGGUUUGUUUCUCACAGCUUCUGUUCCUUUUUAUGGUUGAUUGAAGGGGCUAAACCCCACCAGAAGAACAACUACACAUGCUGGGCUAAAGAGUCUGCAUCCCCAUUCGAUAAUAACAAUGCUAGAAACCAAGUUAGAGCAAAACGUAGCCAAAAAUCUCUUCGACCUUGCUUAGUUUAUUACUUAACCUUACAAAUUUAA